UUUUGGACUUGCUCUUCAUGUCGGGCUCCCUGCACUUUUGGUGCGGCCAACCGAACAUGGGGCUGUCUCUUCACUCUCCCUCCCGUCAUGGAAUAUGUUGUGGUUGGGAUGCUUGUGAUCGGUUGCCUGUGCAGUUCUACCCUCUUUUGGGUAGUGAAGUAGUCCCUCGAUGAUUUUUGCUUGCCCUUCUGACAUUUUUUGUUGUUUGGGCAGCCGAAAUGUUGGUGAAAUCCUUGUGUUGGUGCACGGUUGAAUGCCUUGUUGCUAUCAUUUGGAUUUUUGCCGGCUCUCACGGAUGCGGUGCCUAGUGCUAGCUCUGUGGGACUUUGCCCCGCAGACUUCGGGAGGUCCCUUGUACGAAUCAUUGCUCUUUAUAUGCCGUUUGUCGUGUCCCUCGUGGCACGCAGAUUGUGUUCUGCCGUGUUGUACAUUUCUAUGACACCCCAGAACGAAGUGUCCGGAGCGUGCUCGCGUGCAAGUGGAAUGCCUCUCGUUUGUAUGAGUAGCGAUUUCCGGUUUGCGUCAUGCGAAGGCCUGCCUGUCCGGGUCGGUGCUGGAGCUGAUGUGCCGGUUCUCGUUUAAGACGUGCUACCUGGUUGAU
rnacentral:misc_RNA from 1 species